rnacentral:rRNA from 1 species
GACGAACGCUGGCGGCGUGCUUAACACAUGCAAGUCGAACGGAAAGGCCCUGCUUUUGUGGGGUGCUCGAGUGGCGAACGGGUGAGUAACACGUGAGUAACCUGCCCUUGGCUUUGGGAUAACUUCAGGAAGCUGGGGCUAAUACCGGAUAGGAGCUCCUGCUGCAUGGUGGGGGUUGGAAAGUUUCGGCGGUUGGGGAUGGACUCGCGGCUUAUCAGCUUGUUGGUGGGGUAGUGGCUUACCAAGGCUUUGACGGGUAGCCGGCCUGAGAGGGUGACCGGCCACAUUGGGACUGAGAUACGGCCCAGACUCCUACGGGAGGCAGCAGUGGGGAAUAUUGCACAAUGGGCGGAAGCCUGAUGCAGCAACGCCGCGUGCGGGAUGACGGCCUUCGGGUUGUAAACCGCUUUCGCCUGUGACGAAGCGUGAGUGACGGUAAUGGGUAAAGAAGCACCGGCUAACUACGUG